rnacentral:rRNA from 1 species
AGGUUUGGUCCUAGCCUUCCUAUUAGUUUUUAGUAGACUUACACAUGCAAGCCUCCACGCCCCAGUGAGAAUGCCCUUAAAAUCACCAGUGAUCUAAAGGAGCAGGUAUCAAGCACACUCUUAAGUAGCUCAUAACACCUUGCU